AAAAAAACAAACCUUACAUUUCUGUCUCCAAUAUUUGACCAUCCGUCUUAUUUAAAAAAAUUAUGGAAAAAAAUUAAAAAGACAAGUCAAACAUAAAGUAUUAAUCAUGUUUUAUCAUCUAACAACAAUAAAAAAUACUAAUUAUAAAAAAAUUUCAUAUAAGACAGACAGUUAAACGUUAAACACGGAAACCCAGGGUUUGUGUUUUU
rfam:Oryza barthii chromosome 4, whole genome shotgun sequence.